UAGAAAGUGGUGUAGUGGAAGCACUAAGAGUUUUGAUCUCUUUAGGUGAGGUUCAAAUCCUCUUUUUCUAA
rnacentral:tRNA from 1 species